GCGGCCAUAGUUCAGCGGUUAGAACGCCAGAUUGUGGUUCUGGAUGUCGUGGGUUCGAUUCCCACUGGCCGCCCCA
rnacentral:tRNA from 1 species